GUUGGAAAAUAUCAGUGAGGUGAGGCUUGGGUAACAAAAAUGUCAAGCCUCUGAGAGGAGUCCAGGGUAUAAAAACAGGCGUGGGCCUGUUUCCAAAACCCUGACCAUCCUCAUGUCUGUCCCUCUUUCCUGCUGCUGAGGGUGGGAGGAGCCUGGAGCAGAGUGUGACAAGAUGUCAUCAGGCUCUGGAGUCCAGGCGACUUUCUGAGAUUCUCUAGUUUGACUCAUCCACAGAUGACAAAAGUAAGGCUUAAAGAAAAGAGAUUUCAUGACCAAAGUCGCAUGACCAAUGUAUGUGUGGGUGAGCAUGUAGUGGCCAGGGUGGUGGAAGAAUAGAUAGAAAUCCCUGGGCUGGGCGAGGUGGCUCACGCCUGUAAUCCCAGCACUUUGGGAGACCGAGGCGGGUGGAUCACCUGAGGUCAGGAGUUUGGGACCAGCCUGGCCAACAUGGCAAAACCCUGUCUCUACUAAAAUAUAAGUAAGCCUAGCUUGUGGCAAAUCUGUCUCUCUGGACACUCCAGCAAGCUGGAAGGGACGAUGAUCAGAGGGCACAGUUUGGGAGUUGCCCUGCUCUAGGACAACGCUCCUCUCCACAUUGGAUGAAACUCAGUUUCCCCUGGCCAUGGCCUUCCUCACCAUGGAGUGGGGCUCCCUGGCCGCUGCCUCCUGGCCUGGGGGCUCCCAAACUGGACGCUGGCCUCUGGCCUCUGCUCGGGUUCAGCCCAGCUCACCAGGCCUGUGGCGGGGGGCCUCCCCUCCCAGGGCUGGGGCCCCCAGAAGGUGCUCCGGGCUGGGACUUCCAGUACGGUCUGGGGGCCCAAGUUGCUGGGAGCAGAAUUUGGGGCUGAGGGGGCAGGUGGGGCUGUUGCUCGGGCCUCCAAAGUGCCCACCUGGGUGGGAGGCUCAGGGGCCCGAUCUGUCAGCAGGGGGACCGCAGAGCCAUACCAGUCCUCAGAGCGCUCUCGGGGGGUGCCCAUGGGCUCAAUCCACAGCUCUCCUCCUGGGCGCCACACCAGGGUGGGUGCACGGUGGCUGGGGUCUGGCCGGAGAGCACGGCGGAACAGGCGUUCAGCCAACACAGCGG
rnacentral:lncRNA from 1 species